AUGUCCGCGUGUAUGAAGAAGGCCUUCGGGUUGUAAAGUACUUUCAGCGGGGAGGAAGGUGUUGUGGUUAAUACCCGCUGCAAUUGACGUUACCCGCAUAAGAAGCACCGGCUAACUCCGUGCCAGCAGCCGCGAUAAUAACUG
rnacentral:rRNA from 1 species